AUCUAUUUCUGGAGAUUGCUCCUCUUAGAGUUUUUUCUGUGAGCCUAUAAUGCAGACCCCCAUUUAAGGGCUGACUAAGACUGGGGAAGGAUCUCCUUCUGGACAUUCCUCCUUUGUGGAGCCUUUCAUCGUAAGCCUAAAUCUUGGGAUACAGACCAUACAUCAGAUGGCUUAACAAAGACUGCUUUACUUCAACAGGACAGAGAGAACAAGAAAGGAGAACAAAACUAUAAACAGGAGCUUCAGCAGACCAGGAGACCAGCUGGCUGCCUUUCACCUCCUGCAGCGAGAGCUCACGGACUGCCAGGAUUUGGUUGCCAAAUCUUCUGGGUUUUGGGCUCCAAGCUACAGAUAACUGGUAGCAUGGACCAGCCACCCCUGAUCUCAGUUUGGAUGAAGAGAUUUUUCUUCCCCGGUAUUUUGCCACUCACAGCUGAACCUAUUUUUAUUUGAUCUCUUAAUUUUGUCUUGUUUGAUACUAUCUUUUCAAAACCUCUGUUAUUAAAUCCUGCAAAAGGAAACAUAAAAUUCCCUAUUUAUAUAUCCCCCUAUUCAUCCUGUCAGAACCUUUUCUUUUUAUUGAGUAGUUACUGCUUCCAGCUGAGUUUCCAAGCUGUACUUAGACACUGAGCUGAAGUCUGCAGCCUUAGAUCCCUGAAAUCAGUAUCACUGCUUUCCUUAUCUGUUAGCUAUUUCACAGCUGGCCCCCCUUCAGAUUUCUACUUGCUUGUGCAUGCUCUGGAUUACUCAAUUCACCUGCUUUAAUUAGAUAUCAGGAAUAUCCUUUGCUUCAUUCAAUUAACCAGUGUUAGGGCAGUAACAGGUCUAGUUAGUUUUCUUUCUAUUGUCUAAAUCAAUAACUAAUGCAGCAGGAACAACUUUAAUAAAUGUCUUUUUCC
ensembl:lncRNA